rnacentral:rRNA from 1 species
UGGGGAAUAUUGGACAAUGGGCGAAAGCCUGAUCCAGCCAUGCCGCGUGUGUGAAGAAGGUCUUCGGAUUGUAAAGCACUUUAAGUUGGGAGGAAGGGCAGUAACCUAAUACGUUGCUGUCUUGACGUUACCGACAGAAUAAGCACCGGCUAACUCUGUGCCAGCAGCCGCGGUAAUACAGAGGGUGCAAGCGUUAAUCGGAAUUACUGGGCGUAAAGGGCGCGUAGGCGGCAAUUCAAGUCAUCUGUGAAAUCUCCGGGCUUAACUCGGAACGGUCAGAUGAUACUGCUUUGCUAGAGUGCAGAAGGGGCAAUCGGAAUUCUUGGUGUAGCGGUGAAAUGCGUAGAUAUCAAGAGGAACACCUGAGGUGAAGACGGGUUGCUGGGCUGACACUGACGCUGAGGCGCGAAAGCCAGGGGAGCAAACGGGAUUAGAUACCCUUGUAGUCCCUGAGCGGGCUGGCAAGGCGCAU